UACGUAGGGUGCGAGCGUUGUCCGGAAUUAUUGGGCGUAAAGGGCUCGUAGGCGGUUUGUCACGUCGGGAGUGAAAACUCGGGGCUUAACUCCGAGCCUGCUUCCGAUACGGGCUGACUAGAGGUAUGCAGGGGAGAACGGAAUUCCUGGUGUAGCGGUGAAAUGCGCAGAUAUCAGGAGGAACACCGGUGGCGAAGGCGGUUCUCUGGGCAUUACCUGACGCUGAGGAGCGAAAGUGUGGGGAGCGAACGGG
rnacentral:rRNA from 1 species